rnacentral:rRNA from 1 species
UGGUUUAAUUCGAAGCAACGCGAAGAACCUUACCAAAUCUUGACAUCCUUUGACAACUCUAGAGAUAGAGCUUUCCCUUCGGGGGACAAAGUGACAGGUGGUGCAUGGUUGUCGUCAGCUCGUGUCGUGAGAUGUUGGGUUAAGUCCCGCAACGAGCGCAACCCUUAAGCUUAGUUGCCAUCAUUAAGUUGGGCACUCUAAGUUGACUGCCGGUGACAAACCGGA